rnacentral:lncRNA from 1 species
GCUAUAGAGGACUCGAACUCGUCACUACGAACGUCUAGGGCACAGAGCAAGCCCGUUCCAGGUUUCGAGCAGUUUCGAAAAAUCGGCCUAGGCGCUAGGCUGGAGGACACCGACGCCAAGGAGUUAGCCGGCGCCUAGGCGGCCUGGGAGGAUCUAGGAGGCCUGGGCUGAUCUAGGCUGCCUGGGCGGGUCGUGUCCUUUUUUUUUCCAAAUGAAGACAGACGAAGCUUGCACUCGCAGAGGAAUGUGGUUCGUGAGUGAUAUGAAGAGGCAGAGAAACGAACACGAAGCUUGCACUCGCAGUCCAAUCUACAAAAUUGAAAUACUCGGUCUUGAGCCUCUCUCUCAACUCAAGCUUCGAUUUUUUAUCUUCGGUUUCGGCUGCUGCGUUGAUUCUAUUUUUUUGUGCUUUUCUGUUAUUGAAGUUCGCAACCUUACAUGAACAUCCAAGACAGUUUCUUGAUAUGCCAGAAGAAGCCCAGCAGAUGGUUCUUUAACCUGAGGCACACCUUGCCGUUUGGCAUUGGAUUACACCAUGCCGGUCUGAAUGAGAAAGAUAGAUAUCUGGUUGAGGAGCUUUUUGCAAACAACAAGAUUCAGGCAUUUCUGUUUUACCUCAGUAAGCAUGAGUCUUUCCUGAAAAACACAUUAGGAAAAGAGAAUAUAAAAAAGAUCAUUUUCUAACUCUAUAUACUGAUUAGGCAUAUGUAUUAAAUUAUAGGUAUUGGUUUGUACCAGCACAUUGGCAUGGGGUGUAAACCUUCCUGGUCAUCAUCUGAUCAUUAUUAAGGUAAUGCAAAAUUUGUGUGGUAUCUUUUUCAUUUGGUUCCUAUAUUUACAAAGGUUUCUAGCAUGAGUAUAUUGCAGCAGCUGUUCUUCAGGACAAAUUUACGUUAGUGUUGAUUCUCUUGCAGGGAACAGAAUAUUAUGAUGGGAAAACAAGGAGAGAUUUUGAUUUUCCAAUAUCAAUCACAGAUAUAUUGCAAAUGAUGGUUUUGGUCACACAUGACCAUAUGGAAUGACAAAUGGGAUAAUGGAGCCGAUUGGGAGAUAUGUGUAGCUCUGAAAAGGUGAUCCUAUAACUUGCUUCAAGAGAGAGAGAGGAUUUGUAGUUGUAUUAACUAUUGCUGGUGCGAAGGAGCAAAGGUGACGUGUAUAUAGUGUGUGAGAAGGAGGAAAGGUGACAUAAAAUAAGGAAAGGCAUAAGAAAUGAGGGGUUUAUUUCGUGUGGAAUGAAAGGAAGGGAUAGAAAACUGUGUUUCUGUUGUUGAGAGGGAAUGAGAGAUUUAUAAUUCCUGGUGGUCUUGGUUGGGGUAAAGAAAAGGAAAAGAUAAAUUAGUCGUCAACACGCAUGCAGGGAGAGGUCGGUUAGUGGAGGGAGGCGCAUUGGCAUUGCUCACCCAUGCCUUUCUGCUUUAUUGAUUUCUUUCUAGUACUAGAAGCCUAAUGUUAUUGUCUAAUAAAGUCACAUAGAAAAUCCUUACAUCUUCUGCUCUGCAACUACUUUAGACUAUGUGAAUGAGUUUGAUAUUGAGGAAAGAAAGAAAGCACACCUAACCCAGCAAGCUGGCCCCUAGAUUUGGCCUUCUCUCAGUGGUCCAUUUUAAACUAGUUGUUAUAUUCUCUCUGGCUCUGCUAGAUUUAACUGAACUCUUUGAGAUGAUAAGAUAGAGGGCUCUUGGAAGUGAAAGCAAAGCUAGCUAGGCUGCAGUGCAGAUACCCUUUUGUUGCUGAUGGAGGAAAGAGGUAAUUGAUCCCAUCCCAUGAACAACAACUUACAACUUACAAGUUUCAAGUAAGAGGAGGCAAGUGGAACCAUUUAAUUCUUUCUAUCUGCAGCAGCAUGGUGUGUUGUCUGGUCAAAGUGGGGGCAUAAAAAAACUGGUAUUAGUUUUAGGAGUGCAGAGAAGAGAUCAAAGAAAGAUGGCGUGGACCCCAUAUAUUUAUGGAAAGUGGUCACCUUCUCUCCAAUUUCAUUCUUCUUUUCUUGCUUUCAAUUUGCACCGCUGAGUGUUAAAUAUAAUUUUUAAUGAUGGAUGGUGAUAUGGUAGGAGCUAGGUUUUAAUGCUUGUGGAAGAGAUGUGGGUAGCUCUGGCUUUGAUGCUGGUAAAAGAGGCUGGUUGUUCUCUCUGCUUACUCUUGUAAUUGGGCUCAUGAAAGUGGGUCUGAGUUUUGGUGUCCCCAAGAAGACCAAAACUUCCACUCUUUGAUCUCUCAACGGGC